rnacentral:rRNA from 1 species
GUAAAGCACUUUCAGUAGGGAGGAAGGUAGUGUAGUUAACACCUGCAUUAUUUGACGUUACCUACAGAAGAAGCACCGGCUAACUCCGUGCCAGCAGCCGCGGUAAUACGGAGGGUGCGAGCGUUAAUCGGAAUUACUGGGCGUAAAGCGCAUGCAGGCGGCCGUGUUAAGUCAGAUGUAGAAAGGCCCGGGGACCGUUAACCUACGGUAAGUUGCUAUUUAGUAAACGUGGCGAGGCUAGAGUCUUGUAGAGGGGGGUAGGAAUUUCAGGUGUAGCGGUGAAAUGCGUAGAGAUCUGAAGGAAUACCAGUGGCGAAGGCGGCCCCCUGGACAAAGACUGACGCUCAGAUGCGAAAGCGUGGGGAGCAAACAGGAUUAGAUACCCUGGUAG